AUAUACCACCAUAACACCCUGAACACAUCUGAUCUUGAAAGCAAAGCAGGGCCAGGUUUGAUUAAUACUUGGAUGGAGACCACUUGAAAAUACCAUGUGCUUUUGA
rnacentral:rRNA from 1 species